UUGACCGAAGCUUCCUCCUUCAGUUCUGCGCAGCACUUCAUCUCAGACUUAGACUUAGGUUUCGAAACACAUCCCCUUUUCUGCUGCCGCUACCUUCUAUCUUCCACGAUUCUCCACAUUCUCCACACGUUGCCUCUAGCUUCCUUGGCUGGUUGUCACACUGCUUUUGGGUGAUGAUUGAUUUUUCAUUCAGCACUGUCGUGAGGAAGUUUGGAUAAGCUAAGAAAUUCAGGUAAGCAGGGUUCCUAUGCUAGAUUUUGCAUAAAAUAAAUGAACUGAGGUUGAUUUUUGGAAAAGUAUGCAUGUUUUGCUAUGAAAAUAAUUUUGAAACACCUCAGUUAUUUGUUUUGCAUUACUCAUGAAAUUUUGAUUAAGAAUAAGACAUUUGCUGGCAUGACUGGUUUAGAUAUGAGCUAUUUUGGUAUUUGAUUUCUGAGCUAUGCAAAAGAGAGCGAAUAUGAAAUUUUGUGCAUAAAUCAUAUUUUUGUGAUCUGAUUCUGUCAUGUUCUGAAAAUGUUUUGUAUUCGAUAUUAUAUGAUGUGAUUUUUGAAAACCUCUGGCAUAACAUUUUGUUUCUGUUUCAGUUAUGUUCUGACCUUACCACGAGUGUAAAAUUGUGGCCUCUGUUCAGGUUGGUACCAAUUUUUUUGUUUUCGGUGCACCCACUUUGGAAGCAAAGUGGUUUUCUGCGUGGUCUUUCCUGUAUGCACACUCGGGGCUUUGAGAAUAACAAGGGGAAGAUUCACAUUCUCUUUCUGCUCGGUUAGCCGUCGGGGUUUGCACAACCCUACUACGGAGGUUAAACAUGGACUUCUGUUAUGAUGUGAUAUUUCAGUUAUGCUGUGCCGAAGGAACUUUGAAUAAGAAUAUUUUCCUGAAAAUUUUGCUCUUAUAUUUUUUUGAUAACAUGUUCUGAUUCUGCAUUCUGAAAGUGAAACUAUUUUGUUCUGCAUUUUUUUAACUCUGUAAAUGCUCAUGUUUACACACUAGUAUAUGUUUUCUACUUACCGAGUUGUUGAUAACUCACCCCUCAUCUCCAAAUAUUUUUCAGAUAAUUUUGAUGGUUCAACGGGAGAUCAAGAGUAGGAAGUUUUAGCAAGUUGUGAUGAUCGUAGUGGAAUAAGUGCCUGAGGGUACAAGUGCUUUUGAGAGUCGUAGUUAGUAAAUUGAUUUAUUUUUAGAUAUUUGAUUUGAUGAGUUAAGGAUAUUUUCGAGUCCUUGGGGAGUUUUUAAUUUAUAUUAUUGAGAAAUUCUUUGUAGUCCCUAUGAAGGAACAUUGAUAUUUGGGUUGUGUGAAUAAAUGAAUAUUUUAUGGAGUUUUCUGAAUUUUA